UACGAAGGUGGCAAGCGUUGUUCGGAUUUACUGGGCGUACAGGGAGCGUAGGCGGUUGGGUAAGCCCUCCGUGAAAUCUCCGGGCCUAACCCGGAAAGUGCGGAGGGGACUGCUCGGCUAGAGGAUGGGAGAGGAGCGCGGAAUUCCCGGUGUAGCGGUGAAAUGCGUAGAGAUCGGGAGGAACACCAGUGGCGAAGGCGACUACCUGGCCUGUUCUUGACGCUGAGGCGCGAAAGCUAGGGGAGCAAACGGG
rnacentral:rRNA from 1 species